AUGCCCCCGCGAGAGCGCGUGCUGCCAAUUCCUUGUAUAUGUACCCACGCCAUGCCAUGCCAUGGGCGCCGCAUACCACCAACGCGCUUUGCACCCCCAACCGGCCUCCCUCCUCUCGUCCUCUUCUUCCUCGGCCUCAUCUCUCUACCCCUCUCUUUCCCGCACCGCCUCCAUGAAGGGAAAGCCGGCCUCUUCCUCAUUCUCUCCGGCCACUCUCUUCCCACAUCUCCUUCCGGCCGGCGGUUUUCCCUCCAGGUCGAUCGUCGUCAACCAUGCUUUUUUGUGUGUCAAUUCUUGGGUAAAUCCUGCGAAUCUGGUGAGUUGUGCUCCUCGGAUAGCUCCUGUAAUUUCGUACCUGCGAGGCGAGCGAACGCGGUAUUGGUGCGGUUCAAUCAGAGAGCUGGUGCCCCCGGAGGCAAGGGGUUCCGCCCUUCGAUUGAGCCGUGCCAAUAUCACGCGGUUUCUCUUGAUUCGCAUCCUCCUUCCAUGCGCAUGCUUGCAAAUUCCAUGCUUUCAAUUAAGGUAGCAUGCACUGAACGCUACCGAGCCACUAUUAGUACUAUUGGUUGA
rnacentral:rRNA from 1 species